CCUACGGGAGGCAGCAGUGGGGAAUAUUGGACAAUGGGCGCAAGCCUGAUCCAGCAAUGCCGCGUGAGUGAGGAAGGCCUUAGGGUUGUAAAGCUCUUUCACCCGCGACGAUGAUGACGGUAGCGGGAGAAGAAGCCCCGGCUAACUUCGUGCCAGCAGCCGCGGUAAU
rnacentral:rRNA from 1 species